CCGGCGAUUUCCGAAUGGGGAAACCCAGUGUGUUUCGACACACUAUCAUUAACUGAAUCCAUAGGUUAAUGAGGCGAACCGGGGGAACUGAAACAUCUAAGUACCCCGAGGAAAAGAAAUCAACCGAGAUUCCCCCAGUAGCGGCGAGCGAACGGGGAGGAGCCCAGAGCCUGAAUCAGUGUGUGUGUUAGUGGAAGCGUCUGGAAAGGCGCGCGAUACAGGGUGACAGCCCCGUACACAAAAAUGCACAUACUGUGAGCUCGAUGAGUAGGGCGGGACACGUGGUAUCCUGUCUGAAUAUGGGGGGACCAUCCUCCAAGGCUAAAUACUCCUGACUGACCGAUAGUGAACCAGUACCGUGAGGGAAAGGCGAAAAGAACCCCGGCGAGGGGAGUGAAAAAGAACCUGAAACCGUGUACG
rnacentral:rRNA from 1 species